UACGUAGGGUGCAAGCGUUGUCCGGAAUUAUUGGGCGUAAAGAGCUCGUAGGCGGUCUGUCGCGUCUGCUGUGAAAACUCGGGGCUUAACCCCGGGCCUGCAGUGGGUACGGGCAGACUAGAGUGCGGUAGGGGAGACUGGAAUUCCUGGUGUAGCGGUGAAAUGCGCAGAUAUCAGGAGGAACACCGGUGGCGAAGGCGGGUCUCUGGGCCGUAACUGACGCUGAGGAGCGAAAGCAUGGUGAGCGAACAGG
rnacentral:rRNA from 1 species